UACGUAGGGUGCAAGCGUUGUCCGGAAUUAUUGGGCGUAAAGAGCUCGUAGGCGGUUUGUCGCGUCUGCCGUGAAAGUCCGGGGCUCAACUCCGGAUCUGCGGUGGGUACGGGCAGACUAGAGUGUGGUAGGGGAGACUGGAAUUCCUGGUGUAGCGGUGGAAUGCGCAGAUAUCAGGAGGAACACCGAUGGCGAAGGCAGGUCUCUGGGCCACUACUGACGCUGAGAAGCGAAAGCAUGGGGAGCGAACAGG
rnacentral:rRNA from 1 species